GGAUGGUCAGACAUACGGAUAUGCUGAUCUGAACUUGAUCAGUUGGAUAUCAUACCUACUGAUUUAGAAGAGACCUAAAUCUAAAUCUUUUCACUAAAUAUUAAGUCUAGAGGUCUUCCAUCAUUGUAGAGAUGCGGAUGCCUUCCAGAAGUUGAUCGUUCUCGAUUAGUUAUAGUGCUUUGGUUGCAUUAGAAAGGUACAAACACUCUAUUGAUAUUUGAUGCCUCAAGAUAAAGAUAGG
rnacentral:lncRNA from 1 species